AAAUAAGCGUAGAGAAAAAUUGUCUUCUGUCUUUGGACUGGAGAUUCAUCCAAGCUCCCCAGUUCUAACCUCCUGGGAGACCCAGCAUCUCAUUGUUAGGGUUUAGCCCAUUCCUUCAUGGGUAAUGUUUCUGGGAACAUUUGUGUUUUGGUUUUCUGGCUUCUAAAAUGUGGACAACUACUCUACCUUGCAGAAAUGUGAUGAGGAAGAUAUCAAUAGUUGGAAAGACCUUUGGAAACACAGGGGAUUGUACUUGAUAAAUAAAUGGCUCUAUUUGUCUGUAUCUGCUCAGCCAAGAAUACCAUCCACCAGACUGCACUCCUCUCAAGAGAAUCAAUAGUAUUCCUUCCAGUCAAUCACCACCAACCCAGAAAAACCAUAACUUCAUUGACAAUUAUGAACUUCACAAAAUUAAUGAGUGCUUAAAGAGAACGACAGAGUGUAACACCUUCACAGAAUUCAGUUAAACAAAGUGUGUUGAACUUGUCACCAUCUGUGAGGCAUUUGUGCUGCACAAAGUUCCAAAUGAUGUUGGUGAGUCAACUGAAACAAAGGCACAUUUGUCCAUUGUGAGCGCUAAUUGCUGUGCCAACCAUUUAAUCUCCUAAGUCUCUGGUUACUCAGAGUAUUAAACCCAAACUGAGGAAUGUGAGAGUUAUUUUAAGAAGAAUUUUGACGUUAUCAAUUAUUCCUGUGACUCUCGGCUAGUGUGGCUCACUGCAUCCCAGCUGACUAUGUGUGCCACCAACGUACUUCGUGCAUACCCAACACCUCAUAAGAGUAACUAUUUCAUGGUUCUUUUUUUUUAACAACAUUUCAAAAAGCUUCAUAAAGAUCAUGGUUUGAAAUAGGGUUCCAGUUCCAGAUAAAAUGGAGGAAGCACACUCUACCCGUCUCUCCAAAGAACGCAGCUCCAAAACCUGGACAGAAUACUCAGUGCAACUGCUUGUGGACUCCAAGAAGUAAACAGUAGUAGGUGGAUUGGAGAAGAAGGCCAGAAUUCCAGUUACCAUUGAAUGGUGCUAAAUUUUCUAUUUUUAUUCUGGUAUCCCCAGUUUAGACUCAAGUCAACAGGACACUCAGAAGUGGGAACGUGGACAGAGAGAGCUCCAAGCAGUCCUCUGAUUCUAGGAAGAAAGGAGACUCCUGAUGCUCAGAGAAUGAGGGAAAUCACUAGUUUUCCUUUUCCCUAUUCUUGCCGGUCUCCAGGAAAUUCCAAGGCAAGGGACCUUGGCAGCAGCAAUGGAAUUGACCAGCAGCAGGGCCUGCAGAGAUGCAAAACCCACCUGCUCUGGUAGGAGGAGCUGUGGUCCUACUGGAUGGAGCGGACCCUCGCUGCUUUUCUCUCUCUUUCUCUCUCUCUCUCUCUCUCUGUCCUCUCAGCACAUGACCCAGGUGUGGGUGCAGCCUCUAGAAGUGCACAGCAGAGCAGACAUGAAAACUGAGUCUGGGAAAGACUGAACAAUAUGACCGUGAUCCCACAGCUGUACAACCACUCCUGAAUUUGAUGUGUCUCCUGGUCCUUCUUCUAGGCCUAGAGGAGGAGCAAACCAGGACUUUGUCAGGUACCUGGGCCUCACCUGCCCCAGAGAAUGAAGAGACCAGUCUCACCGUGCAGUCUGGGCAAGACACCAGGGUGGUGAGGUAGGUGGUUGGUCAGUUUGCCCUGAAGAAUACAGACAGCAGCCCUGGAUUCUGGGAAGAUGGUGACACACGUGUUUGUCCUGCCUUCCUUGUCCUCUCUGCACUUUUUUUGGGUCACACCGCUACCUCGAAGGCUAUCUGAGCAUCAUGUUCUCCUGAGAUGCACAGGGAAGAGAGUGGAUCUGAGCUUCAUUCUCUAAACUUCCAGGUGAAGGCAGUUGACCAGAAGCCAUGGUGGGGGGGCUCUCCUCUCCUCUAGGUGUGGGGCAAAGUCCAAGCUGGUCAGACCCUGUCUCUCCCUGACAGGAGACAAACUAUCUGCUGCCCAGAGGGGCCUUGGUGACCCUGGAGGAAAUAGAGGGGCCUGUGGGGCUGGACUGACUUGUUCCAGGACCUCGCUGCUAGGACAGCAGCCCCUGGUCCUCACCCCCAGGGUGCUUCUUCUGGUCCUCCAGCAGAGGUCCUAGUUUGCCAGGCCAUGUUCAGCAAACCUACAGAAAACUGACUGGGAGAACUACAGACCACAGAAGGAAAAGGAAACCGCAAAACCCACUCGCCAGCUGAUCCCCUUCUAGUUCAUA